AUUUCUUAUAUACUUAUAAAAAACAUAGAUUUUUUUUCGUAUAUGACAUGUUUUGAAUUUUGUAAAACUAACAUAUAUUUAUAAAAUUGAAUAUAUACAAUAAUAAUAAAGUUUUGUUCUAUUCUAUUACAUAAAGUUAUAUAGAAUAGUUGCGAUAAAAUUCAUCUUUCCUCAAUCUCUAUCAAUCUCCCUCUCCAAUCUCCAUCCACAUAUCCCUCUUUCUUUUCCUUCUCCUCCCAGAUUCUCUCUCUCUUCACUUCUUUCCCUCCCCCGCCUCUUCUCUCCUCUUACUUCACUCUCUAGCUCUCUCUCCAUUUUCCUCUUUGUACUUCUUUCCUCUUCUUUUUUUUUUAUCAUCCCAUCAUGUUUUUUAUACUCUUCUAUUUAUUAGACAUUAUACAUCCUUUCAGCUUCGUCCGUAAACUCUUUUUUCAUUUUUUAUCAUCCCCGUCUUCGCUUUUC
rnacentral:lncRNA from 1 species